rnacentral:rRNA from 1 species
UGUGUAGGCGGUCUGGUAAGUUGGAUGUGAAAAGCCCGGGCUUAACCUGGGAGGUGCAUCCAAUACUGUUGGACUAGAGUGCAGGAGAGGAAAGCGGAAUUCCUAGUGUAGCGGUGAAAUGCGUAGAUAUUAGGAGGAACACCAGUGGCGAAGGCGGCUUUCUGGACUGUAACUGACGCUGAGGCACGGAAGCGUGGGGAGCAAACA